rnacentral:rRNA from 1 species
UAGGGAAUCUUCCACAAUGGACGCAAGUCUGAUGGAGCAACGCCGCGUGAGUGAAGGAGGUCUUCGGAUCGUAAAGCUCUGUUGUUGGUGAAGAAGGAUAGAGGCAGUAACUGGUCUUUAUUUGACGGUAAUCAACCAGAAAGUCACGGCUAACUACGUGCCAGCAGCCGCGGUAAUACGUAGGUGGCAAGCGUUGUCCGGAUUUAUUGGGCGUAAAGCGAGCGCAGGCGGAAUGAUAAGUCUGAUGUGAAAGCCCACGGCUCAACCGUGGAACUGCAUCGGAAACUGUCAUUCUUGAGUGCAGAAGAGGAGAGUGGAACUCCAUGUGUAGCGGUGGAAUGCGUAGAUAUAUGGAAGAACACCAGUGGCGAAGGCGGCUCUCUGGUCUGCAACUGACGCUGAGGCUCGAAAGCAUGGGUAGCGAACAGGAUUAGAUACCCUGGUAGUCCAUGCCGUAAACGAUGAGCGCUAGGUGUUGGGGACUUUCCGGUCCUCAGUGCCGCAGCAAACGCAUUAAGCGCUCCGCCUGGGGAGUACGACCGCAAGGUUGAAAC